rnacentral:rRNA from 1 species
GGGGUAAUGGCCUACCAAGGCUUUGACGGGUAGCCGGCCUGAGAGGGUGACCGGCCACACUGGGACUGAGACACGGCCCAGACUCCUACGGGAGGCAGCAGUGGGGAAUAUUGGACAAUGGGCGGAAGCCUGAUCCAGCAACGCCGCGUGAGGGAUGACGGCCUUCGGGUUGUAAACCUCUUUCAGCACAGACGAAGCUGACUCCACGUGUGGGGUGGGUGACGGUAUGUGCAGAAGAAGCACCGGCCAACUACGUGCCAGCAGCCGCGGUAAUACGUAGGGUGCGAGCGUUGUCCGGAAUUAUUGGGCGUAAAGGGCUCGUAGGCGGUUUGUCGCGUCGGGAGUGAAAUCCACUGGCUUAACUGGUGGCUUGCUUUCGAUACGGGCAGACUGGAGGUAUGCAGGGGAGAACGGAAUUCCUGGUGUAGCGGUGAAAUGCGCAGAUAUCAGGAGGAACACCGGUGGCGAAGGCGGUUCUCUGGGCAUGUCCUGACGCUGAGGAGCGAAAGUGUGGGGAGCGAACAGGAUUAGAUACCCUGGUAGUCCACACCG